rnacentral:lncRNA from 1 species
GCGUUUGAAGAUAGUUGGUGAGCAACGGAGUUCUGGUGCCGAAAACGGCAUUCUUAGGAACCUUAAACAUCAUUAUUUCUGGUAAGAUAAUUUAAUGUCACAAGAUUGUGUGUUUGCUGUCCGAACACCUAAAUAGGUGAGUUUUGGGCACGUGAGCCUUGAUUUUUAGAUCUGUUUGACCCAUUUGCAUCGAUUAUAGCCUAUGAUUGUCUGAUUGAGCUUGACAGAGAUCGCAAUUAUACUCGGUUGGGU